rnacentral:rRNA from 1 species
UACGUAGGGGGCUAGCGUUGUCCGGAAUCAUUGGGCGUAAAGAGCGUGUAGGCGGCCCGGUAAGUCCGCUGUAAAAGUCAAAGGCUCAACCUUUGAAUGUCAGUGGAUACUGCCGGGCUAGAGUCCGGAAGAGGCGAGUGGAACUCCUGGUGUAGCGGUGAAAUGCGCAGAUAUCGGGAAGAACACCCGUGGCGAAGGCGGCUCUCUGGGACGGUACUGACGCUGAGACGCGAAAGCGUGGGGAGCGAACAGG